rnacentral:rRNA from 1 species
GGAGUUAGCCGGUGCUUCUUCUGUGAGUGAUGUCCUUCCUGCCGGUUAUUGACCCGCAGGCCUUCUUCCUCACUGAAAGUGCUUUACAACCCGAAGGCCUUCUUCACACACGCGGCAUGGCUGGAUCAGGGUUGCCCCCAUUGUCCAAUAUUCCCCACUGCUGCCUCCCGUAGGAGUCUGGGCCGUGUCUCAGUCCCAGUGUGGCUGAUCAUCCUCUCAGACCAGCUACGGAUCGUCGCCUUGGUGAGCCGUUACCUCACCAACCAGCUAAUCCGACAUAGGCUCAUCCGAUAGCGCGAGGCCCGAAGGUCCCCCGCUUUCCCCCGUAGGGCGUAUGCGGUAUUAGCCUGGGUUUCCCCAGGUUAUCCCCCACUACCCGGGCAGAUUCCUAUGCAUUACUCACCCGUCCGCCGCUCGCCACCAGGGAGCAAGCUCCCCGUGCUGCCGCUCGACUUGCAUGUGUUAGGCCUGCCGCCAGCGUUCAAUCUGAGCCAUAAUCAAACUCUGA